UGGCAAGGUCGAGCGAACAGAUGAGAAGCUUGCUUCUCUGAUGUUAGCGGCGGACGGGUGAGUAACACGUGGGUAACCUACCUAUAAGACUGGGAUAACUCCGGGAAACCGGGGCUAAUACCGGAUAAUAUUUUGAACCGCAUGGUUCAAUAGUGAAAGACGGUUUCGGCUGUCACUUAUAGAUGGACCCGCGCCGUAUUAGCUAGUUGGUAAGGUAACGGCUUACCAAGGCGACGAUACGUAGCCGACCUGAGAGGGUGAUCGGCCACACUGGAACUGAGACACGGUCCAGACUCCUACGGGAGGCAGCAGUAGGGAAUCUUCCGCAAUGGGCGAAAGCCUGACGGAGCAACGCCGCGUGAGUGAUGAAGGUCUUCGGAUCGUAAAACUCUGUUGGUAGGGAAGAACAAAUUUGUUAGUAACUGAACAAGUCUUGACGGUACCUAACCAGAAAGCCACGGCUAACUACGUGCCAGCAGCCGCGGUAAUACGUAGGUGGCAAGCGUUAUCCGGAAUUAUUGGGCGUAAAGCGCGCGUAGGCGGUUUCUUAAGUCUGAUGUGAAAGCCCACGGCUCAACCGUGGAGGGUCAUUGGAAACUGGGAAACUUGAGUGCAGAAGAGGAGAGUGGAAUUCCAUGUGUAGCGGUGAAAUGCGCAGAGAUAUGGAGGAACACCAGUGGCGAAGGCGGCUCUCUGGUCUGUAACUGACGCUGAUGUGCGAAAGCGUGGGGAUCAAACAGGAUUAGAUACCCUGGUAGUCCACGCCGUAAACGAUGAGUGCUAAGUGUUAGGGGGUUUCCGCCCCUUAGUGCUGCAGCUAACGCAUUAAGCACUCCGCCUGGGGAGUACGACCGCAAGGUUGAAACUCAAAGGAAUUGACGGGGACCCGCACAAGCGGUGGAGCAUGUGGUUUAAUUCGAAGCAACGCGAAGAACCUUACCAAAUCUUGACAUCCUUUGACCGCUCUAGAGAUAGAGUCUUCCCCUUCGGGGGACAAAGUGACAGGUGGUGCAUGGUUGUCGUCAGCUCGUGUCGUGAGAUGUUGGGUUAAGUCCCGCAACGAGCGCAACCCUUAAGCUUAGUUGCCAUCAUUAAGUUGGGCACUCUAGGUUGACUGCCGGUGACAAACCGGAGGAAGGUGGGGAUGACGUCAAAUCAUCAUGCCCCUUAUGAUUUGGGCUACACACGUGCUACAAUGGAUAAUACAAAGGGCAGCGAAUCCGCGAGGCCAAGCAAAUCCCAUAAAAUUAUUCUCAGUUCGGAUUGUAGUCUGCAACUCGACUACAUGAAGCUGGAAUCGCUAGUAAUCGUAGAUCAGCAUGCUACGGUGAAUACGUUCCCGGGUCUUGUACACACCGCCCGUCACACCACGAGAGUUUGUAACACCCGAAGCCGGUGGAGUAACCUUUUAGGAGCUAGCCGU
rnacentral:rRNA from 1 species